UAUGUUUAUACAUAUCCACACUAGUAUAUUAUAAAAAUAAGUACUUAAAAAUUUGAAUUUAUAUAAAAAAUGCUCCAAAUAAUUAAGUUGUCAAAUAACUGCUUAUUUAUUGUAUCAAAAUCGUGCAUACCUUAUAAGUUGCUACAUUUAUACGAUCACUUAUAAAGUUCUUAUACUAAAUUGCACCUUCCUGCCAAGUUGUUGUCCUAGAACACUCAAUUUGCAAGUUAUUGCACCAAAUUGCACCCACUUGUCAAGUUGUUGCACCAUGGGUGCAAUUUACUCUAUUAUCAACUAUAGAGAUUUAAGUUUCUUUUUUUUUUGAAAAGCAGUGUUUAUGUGAUUAGUUAACAUGAGAAAGGAUCUGUUAGAAACUAGAAGAAAAGAAACUAGAAGAAAAGAAGUAUGACAGAAGAAUGAAUUAUAGGAGCUCGAGAAAACAUAGCAACAGUCCCGAACCACAUUUUCAUUGAUCUCAUAGUUGGUUGUUCAUGGGUUAAAUUCUUUAUCCAUCGAUCUACGAUUGCAUAUUGCUCAGCUUUGUGGAUAUCAUUGUUCCUGUAGAUGUUUUAUGUACUAUGCGUAUGAUACAUUUUGGCGCUCAAAUUUUGUAGUAAGACUGAAUUUGAACAUUUUCAUGUUGGGGCAUAGGGUCAGGGCGAAGGUUUUGCAUUAUAAUGAUGCAUAUUUGUUUGCUGUGUUAGCUGUCAUUAAAAAAAGUGAAGAGCAUUGUGGAGUCAUUUCAUAUAUAACUGAAAAUUGAAAGCUUAGGUGCUAAGAAUGGUGGCAGACGUAUUAUCAUUUUGCUUGCUGGUACCUAGUUUUGACGCUUGACGACAAGCUUACAAAUUCUGUGCCUUUUUUAAUUUUAGCUUUUAUGCAGUUGGUGAUAGCUUGCAGUAGGUGAUUUUUGAACUUCUCAAAAUAAGUGUUUUUGUCAUAUUUGUAUUUUGUUUUUGUCACUUUUUUGAACUUAUAAACUAAAUGGUUUUUUGUCAUAUUUGUAUUUUUUUUGUUUUUAUCAAAAAAACAUAUUUUGUCAAGUUCUGGUAUGCAACGUACUGGUUUUAUUUUUGUGUGUACAAUGAAGGUGCUGCUAUAAACUUGGUGCUGAUCCAUCUUCUGUUAGUUCAUUUAGUGGUCACCUCUGAAUGCAUAGUUUAGUGUCUAUGAAAGAAAGGAAGUUUUGGAUAUGAGACCGCUUUUAAAAUUUUAGUUUUCUGAAACCAUAGAGGGGUGAUAUCCAAAUUUGAAUAUAUCCAUUAUACAUGUAGGAUUAGUCAAGUUUUUUGAGUUGCAAGGUUAUUUUUGCUAAUGAAAUCACGUCUUCCUUUUUGUUUUUGUUUUUGUGUUUCUUUUUGUCUUUGUUAUAUUUUUAUAAUUUUGGUACAUAUUAAUCAUUUUAUCGCUUAUUUAGGUCAUAGCCUAACCACUUAAAAUCGUUCUUAAUGCCGCUAUUUUCUUGCCAUAAAAAUCUCUCAAUUAUAACGUCCAUGUUUUUGUCAGAAACAGUCUUAUAUCGAAUAAUACUUAUAAGAUGCAUAUUUAUCAGAUUUUAAAUUUAUUUCUGUCUUUGUCUUUGUCAGAUUUUAAAUUUUUUUUUGUCAAUUUUUAUAUUCUUUUUCUACAUAUUAAUCAAGCCGAUGCGCUAUAUUUGUCUUUAUCUUUGUAAAUUUUUAUAUUUUUUCUACAUAUUAAUCAAGCUGAUGCACUGUAUUCAUCGUACCAACAAUGGUCGAGUCGUCUCAAAAAAGAUUGAUCUGGAACUUGUUUCAUUUGUGAGCAAGUGAUUAAUUUUCAAAAUCACUUGUUUCAUUGGAGCAAGAACAUAUACCCCGGCCUAUCGCAAGAAAUGCUGGCCAAGAUCAGUGCUGCUUUUAGUUAUUUUGACAAAUCAAGCCUCUGAAUGACCUCAUCAUGUGCCAAAUUUUCUCUUCUUUUUUACUGAAAGAAAAUUAGUAGAAAACACUAGUACAGAAUUAGGUAGCCUACAAUCCUCUUUCUACCAAUAAAUACCUUGUUUUUUUUAGUCAGUGCACGAAUGCAACAUUGAUUAUGCACACAAAAGGUUGCAAGUUUACAACUGGAGAGCCUCAGUGAUCAUGUGGCAGGCAGUCUGAACAACUAGCAUCAAUUCAGUUGUCAGUUUCUCCAAGACAGCUUCAGAUUAAUGUCCCUGUUGUAAUGUGUCUUUGUUCCUUUUGUUUUCUGAAGACUAAAUUGGAUUUCCGUAUACAGUUACCCCUGUAACCAUAUGGAAUGCAAAUCCAUCAAGAAAUUUGUCAUGGUGAAGCUUCAGAUUGAAUAUCAGGAUUGAGAAGAUUUUCAGGAUUUUGAUCUCUCACAAAAUGUAUCCCCAGAGCUGGUCUCCUGCCUAGGUAGCCGUCGUUAUCCAUUUCGUCGCACCAUUACAAAAAAUAAUAAUAAAGGUACCCUUUGGAUGAGUUUCUGAUUAUUGCUACUUUGUACUAGUUGAAGAAACUCUUGGCUGUCUGAGCUUCCAAAUCUCACAAAUCGAACUGACUGAUUCUUUUUAGAUUAAGUUGAUGUUUAUCUCUCGAUUAGACAUUUUCAUUAACAAUUAUGGAAUAUUGAUAUGCUCCUCAUUGUAUGAUGACUCAAUGAUGAUGCAUUUUUAUAUUUUUGUUCUUCUGAA